rnacentral:rRNA from 1 species
UACGAAGGGGGCGAGCGUUGUUCGGAAUUACUGGGCGUAAAGCGUGCGUAGGUGGUUUGUUAAGUCUGUUGUGAAAGCCCCGGGCUCAACCUGGGAAUGGCAAUGGAUACUGGCAGGCUAGAGUGCGGUAGAGGGUAGUGGAAUUCCCGGUGUAGCGGUGAAAUGCGUAGAGAUCGGGAGGAACACCAGUGGCGAAGGCGGCUACCUGGACCAGCACUGACACUGAGGCACGAAAGCGUGGGGAGCAAACAGG